GAUGAAUGCUGGCGGCGUGCCUAACACAUGCAAGUCGAGCGGCAGCGAGUUUUACACUGAAUUCUGGAAGCUUCUGAGUAGUACAGAAGAUUUAUUCAAGAGUUUUGUGUAAAAUGUCGGCGAGCGGCGGACGGCUGAGUAACGCGUAGGAAUUUGCCCCAUAGUGAGGAAUAACUGCCCGAAAGGGUAGCUAAUGCCGCAUAUGGUCUUCGGAUUAAAGCCUUCGUGCGCUUUGGGAGAAGCCUGCGUUGGAUUAGGUAGUUGGUAGGGUAAUGGCCUACCAAGCCGACGAUCCAUAGCUGGGCUGAGAAGAUGAUCAGCCAGACUGGAACUGAGACACGGUCCAGACUCCUACGGGAGGGAGCAGUGAGGAAUCUUCCACAAUGGGCGAAAGCCUGAUGGAGCAACGCCGCGUGAAGGAUUAAGGCCUUCGGGUUGUAAACUUCUUUUAUGAGUGAAGAAUAUGACGGUAACUCAUGAAUAAGCACCGGCUAACUACGUG
rnacentral:rRNA from 1 species